GCGGAGCUUUUAAAACUCCCACUCCAGACCAAUUAAAUCAGAACCUCCGAGUGUGGGACCCACGCAACAGAAGUUGUAAAGCUGCCCAGGUGACUGCAAUCUGCAGCCAAGGUUGAGAACUGCUGAGUUGCGGGUCUGUGUUUUCAGAUACAGCAGCUCCAAUAGCUACAAAGUCCACAUUCUGGAGCAAAUAAGUGAAGCAAAAAUGAAGCCGCCCUGAGAACUACGACAAAGAAUUCAGAAGCACCAGUUAGAGUCAGUGUCAGAUUCAGGGCUUCUCGGUCAUUGCUCCAUCCUCUUCAGCCACUGCAAAAGGAGGAAUAAGAAUUGUUUUAAAACACAGCUGCAGCCAAACCAGCACACUCUACAUAAAGCCUCUCCUGAAAUUUCCAAAUCUGAACAAAUUUGCACUUGUGGCCUGGCCUCUGGGUAAGAUUUAGUCCUGCCCAAGAAAGAGGAGACAAGGAGAGCUUCUCAAAGCCCUCCAGACUUCAAGUUCUCUGGACUGUAGGGCCUCCGCUAGCCAGGCACAACAGGAAAUUGGAAUGACUCUCUAGGAGCCCAAACCCAUUAAACGUGCUGGGAAUGCGUUCUGUAGUCAUUAACGGAGUUCUACACUCUGAGGGGGAAGAUAUCCAAUGAAUACCUCAGCCUUCCGUUCUGUAAUCCUAGGAAGGUGAUCUGCUCAGGAGGCCAGUUACAUGCGACAGUGCCAGGCGCUCUGAGUCCUCCAGGGAUCCAGAACCAGUCUAUUUUUCCUCUAGUGUGGCUCAUUGCACAGGCCCAAGCCUGUCCCACUACAAGCAUAAAAUGGUAUAUUUUAAGGGUGAUCAAGCACUAAAUGUUCUCCAGGACAGAGAUCUAAGAAGUUUGGGCAGUCAUUGGAUUAUGAUCCUCUCAGAAAACUGGUGCCAUGUCAGGCCUACUUUUUACUCUAGUCUCUCUGGUGGUUUGACGCUGGACUUCAGUGAUGCUGCAGAAGUUAGUUGGUUAGUUUCUGACUCCGCCUAUGGUGACAGUCCUUCAUGUCACAGCAAGGUCCUUACUUUCCUGUGAGGUUGCAACGGCAACAAUAGAACAGCAAUGAUAAUAAAAACAGCUGGGUGCUAUAUAUAUAUAUAAUCUUAUUAAAAUUUUAAGCCUACAGGAUAGGCAUUAUUAAAUCUAUGUAAGAGAUGAGAUCGAAGCAUAGCAAUAUGAAGUCAUCUCCAAGGACAUUGCUAUUAAGUGGCAGACCUGGGAUUCAAGCACAGUCUGUGUGACUCUAAGACUGCUCUCU
rnacentral:lncRNA from 1 species